CUCUUUGGUCACAUGAGAAAUCACAGAAAUGACAAAUGAUUGUUCCUUUCAUCUUUUCAGCCAACUAUUGUCAGUUAUUUCCAAGUUAAUACAUCUUUUUUUAUGUAAUUUAUAAUUUGUGACCUUACUUUUUUUCGUGCUCAUUCAUUUUAUAUGUUCAUUUCCACUGGUGUUAUUUAUUUGGUGCUCAUUACACUGAUCAUUUCUGCCCUUAAUGAAGAAAAAAGUAAAAGUUUUCUGUGAAUUCGCCUAAAAUGCUUAAUGUUUUUCAAAACCCAUAUUUUUUUUUUUUUUUUUUUUUUUUGAAAAGCAAAAUUACAUUAUUACAUUACAGUAACAUGUUAAUAUUUCUGUUUUUAACAGCGUUGUAUAUCUCCGGCAUGUUCUACCCUCGCGCGAGUGUGACGUCAUCACGCCCGAAGUUCUCGAUCACACGAACACUUCAAAGUUCAAACCUCGGCUUCCUGCAGAACAACGCUUUGCAGAUUCAGACCUGCUUCCUCUCGCUCGCUCAAACACACUGUGAUUCUCACCUCCUCGUCAGUUCUCAGUCGUUUCUCUUGGUUUAUCACGUCUCUUCUCUUUGGUGUGUGUGUGUGUGUGUGUGUGUGUGUGUGUGUCUGUCUGUCUGUUUCUGCUGACAAGGGUACUUUCAUUGUUUUUUAUUUUUUAGUUAUCGGGCGAAUCCCGUGAAUGAGAACAUAUGCAGUGAGGAACAGGGAGAAGACAACAGACAGCAGCUCUUUCAGACAAACGGAAUGAACCUAAUGUUGGAGACAAACUGAGCACAGAAAACAGAGAAGAUUCAGAAAUCAUCACUUGCUUAAAUCCUGCACAUCCUGAUCCCAAGUUUAUAAAAGUACAGACGAGAGCAAACUAUGUGCUA